AUUAAAGCUGUUAUGUUUUUUCCCCCAGUUCGUCAAGUACUAAACUUUACACCCCCAGCAGAAAAUGUACCCUGGCAGCAAAUGGGUGAAAAGGCUGGAGGAGAAAGUCAUCGCUCCGUUAUUGGCCCUUGGACUCCCCUGGCAUCGCAUGUACAGCAUGAAGUUUUCAGCAAUGAAGGUAUAUUCUUGGCCUAUGUCCUAAUGUCCAGUUUUUUAACAGUUUUGAAAAUAACUGUGCCUUUAGUUUUCCAGAACGAGAACCAAGCCCUGAGGGAGGAGAACCAAGCCCUGAGGGAGGAGAACCAAGCCCUGAGGGAGGAGAACCAAGCCCUGAGGGAGGAGAACCAAGCCCUGAGGGAGGAGAACCAAGCCCUGAGGGAGGAGAACCAAGCCCUGAGGGAGGAGAACCAAGCCCUGAGGGAGGGGAGCCAUGCACGAGCAGGUGAGAACAUGCACGAGCAGCUUCGGGUGACAGCGGCUCGCUUCAAGAGCAGGUGAAGCUAUUUGGGACAACGCUGAAGAUGUUUGCUCGCACUGGGCAAUCAGGUGCAGAUCAGACCCUAGUGCUGCAACGUCUUGGAGAGUUUGGCGAUGUUGUGCGUAGCAUGGAAAACAAAAUGGACACUAUGCUGCAACAUUUCAGUGCCAAUGUGUCUGUUUGAGAGCUAUCCCUGCCAGGGGAUGUUACUCCCCCUAGACACCCAGGAAGAUUUGGUGUUUCUUGACAGCAUUUUGAGGGAGGAUAAAGAGCUCCAGGAACGAUUUGGGCCCUCCGGAAGAACCCGGCAACCCAGGAUGCCACUGAUGAGGCGGUCCAGGUUAGCGUUACACGUUACCUGAAAGGAGCAUCAGACUGUGAAGGAGGAAAAAGCCGCCCAGCUGAGAAGGACCCACAGCCAACCCCUUAAAACUAGGCUGACUACUGACACCCCAGCAUCCCUGAACUGGAACACUUUCUUUAUCCUGCAGUCAGUAACAUCAAGAAGCCAGAAGUGCCAGACUACACUCACCAAACCCACCCUGUUUUUUUUGUAUUAACUUUAGUAUUGGCUUAUUUCAUUCCGUCUUAACGAUUCUAUUAUAGUUUGUAAAUCCUAUUUCAUACCUGUUACUUGAUAUUGCGCAUUAACUAGUACCAACAUUCUACUUUCAUUUCAUCACUAUGCUUAACUGUUAUUCAAUUAAUAAUAGCUUGGAAAUACUAUUUCGUACCUCUGAUACUUGAUAUUGCACAGUACCUGGUACCAAAUAUUCUACUUACUCUGUUUUUAACAUCAGCAUUUUUCAUUCCAUCACAGUGCUUAACUGUUAUUCUAUUGUUAAAUAUAGCUUGUAAAUCCUUGUGCCACAGGUCAGCAAUGCCAUUAUAAUGGAAUAUUCUACUCUAGAGCUUUACUCAAUGGCUUGAAAAUGUGAUGUUCUACCUCGUUUUAUUUGGUAUCCUGCACAUUCUUAGGUACCAAAUAUCCUCAUUACUUGUUAUGUUUACUGGUAAUUAUUUUCAUCCCAGAGCUGACCUCUAUAUUAUUAACAAUGAUUGUGUUUGUGUUAUAAUUUGCUUGUAUGGCUGUUCUUUUUUUUUUAACCAACAUUUUAUUGGAAACCUGCAUGUUCUGUGUGUAUUUAUGUUUAUUUUUUUCUGCCUAUUAUUUAUUUCAGUGAUCUGACACAUCUUGUUUGAAUGACAGUUACUAUACUUUGAAAUGUGGAAUUAAAACACCAAAUGGAAAUUACCUGGUUACAUGUUACCUGGUUACCUUGAUUAUUUUCAUCCAUUUUACUUCGUUUUCAAUCAACUACCCAAAAAACAACAACACUUCAAAAUAUCAUGAAAACGAGCAUCACAAUCAGAAAUAAAGCAUAAACACAUUCAUUUUCUUGUAAACCCUUUGACCCAAAUGUAUCUUAUUUCAAGUCCUCGUUUAAUUGAAAAU
ensembl:lncRNA